rnacentral:rRNA from 1 species
GACGAACGCUGGCGGCGUGCUUAACACAUGCAAGUCGAACGGUGAAGCGCCUUCCUUUUUGGUGGGUGUGGAUGAGUGGCGAACGGGUGAGUAACACGUGAGUAACCUGCCCCCUUCUUCUGGAUAACCGCAUGAAAGUGUGGCUAAUACGGGAUAUUCUGGGUCUGUCGCAUGAUGGGUCUGGGAAAGAUAUUGUUUCGGUGGGGGAUGGGCUCGCGGCCUAUCAGCUUGUUGGUGGGGUGAUGGCCUACCAAGGCGGUGACGGGUAGCCGGCCUGAGAGGGUGGACGGUCACACUGGGACUGAGACACGGCCCAGACUCCUACGGGAGGCAGCAGUGGGGAAUAGUGCACAAUGGGCGCAAGCCUGAUGCAGCGACGCCGCGUGAGGGAUGGAGGCCUUCGGGUUGUGAACCUCUUUCGCCAGUGAAGCAGGACUGCCUCGUUUGUGGGUGGGUUGACGGUAGCUGGAGAAGAAGCGCCGGCUAACUACGUG